CACUCACGUCCUUACCCAGAGUUCCCUAUCCUUCCUUACCCAGAGUUCCCUAUCCUUCCUUACCCAGAGUUCCCUCACUUACGUCCUUACCCAGAGUUCCCUCACCCUCCCUCACCCAGACCUUCCCCCACCCUCCCUCAAUCAUACUUUCCUCACCCCUUUCUUCACUCAGAGUUCCCUCACCUUCUGCUUUUUUUUAAUCAAUCGAGAGAAGAGUUACAACUUUCAUCCAAUUUUUGAAAAGCAAUCCAGAACCCAAAAGGUGAGUCAUCGCAGGCCUGGGACAUCCACAUUCCUUUGUGGACUCAUUCCAGCCGGUAGCUGGAGAAGCUCAUGGGCAGAGGGUUUGGCCAGCCUGGGGCAGCUGUGUGCAUUCAUCAUCAGGGUGGCUCUCUCCCUGGUUCUCACGAGACUUUUCUGCAGCAACACCUCCUUGCUGGGAAUGCCUCCAGAUGAGGAGACUGAGGAUCAGAGAUGUCAGAAACAGGCCCAAGAUCACACAGCCAAAUAGAAGCAAACCCAGGGGGAUAUGAUUUCCAAGGCCAUGCUCAUGUGCCCACCGUGCUAAAUUUGGAGGGAAGCUGGGGAAAGAAAGGAGGGCCAGGAUUGUGAGAAAUGGUCAUUUAGGACUUGAGAAAUGUAUAAACCCGGAAGAAUGAUCAGAGUGCCUCCUCCGCUGAAAAUCCACAGCCAGGCAUGGACCCCUCCCCACCACCUCCUACUAUGGUACUUAAAGACCUCACCAUGAAAAACUGGAUUGCAUAAAGGACUGCUCCUGGACAGAGACCCCUGGCUUGUUAUAUUUGCACAACUGGACAGUUUUCAUGGCAUAGAUUGGAUGGACUCUGUCAGUGACAGGAGGCAAUGUCCCUCCUGAAGGAGGGAAGGGAGUCUCUUCACUAGCAAAUACUCCAGGUGAGCAAAGUGAGGGUUGGGUGGAUAAUGGGAAGGCAACACUAUGCUCCUGGCUUUAAGAUUUAUGGAUGGGCCCUGAAAGAAGUGUUUUAGCCUUUCUGUCCGUAAGAGCACAGAACAUCUAGUUUAGAUUUCUCCAAAGAGAAGGCAGAUCUCUCACAAGUUUACAUGGAGGCAGGGAUGAGAUAAAAGGGUGACAAUGAGGUAAAAAAGAGUGGAAAAACAAACAAACUGAAAAAGGUGCUGCCCGGCUCUACAUUGAAAGACCCUAAGAGUGUCCAGGCCUAAUAGCAUAUCUCUAAGUGUAAAGUCUCUGGGAUCCCAGCAGACUGACACUGUGAUAAAACUCUGUCACAGUUUCUCAGCCAUUGGGGAAAAAAAAAAGAUCCUGUGAUUCCAACCAUGGAACUGCUACUCAAAACAACUACAAGAAAGAGGAAGUAGAGACCACGCGAGGUAUUUCCGUGUAAGACUGUUCCACCUUGAGAAAAGAAGCAAAAUGUGGAAAUGGGUCCUUCGCUGGAGAAUGGAUUAAAGAGUCUUUGGUCUCUUUCUGAAUUGUGCUACUUAAUUUAUCAUCACCACCAUCAUCAUCAUCUUUGUUGUCAUCAUCUCCAUCACCCGUGCUUCCUACAUGCCAGAAGUGUUGUGUUCCCUGGUUGAUCUCAUUUAAUUCUUCUGACAGCAAUAUGAGAGAUUUUGCAAUACUAAUGACAAAGAAAGCCUGGUGGAAUCACCUACUGGGAAGGCAGUGGUCCAGCUUUGGGCCUUGGCAGCUAUGCAGAGCAUUGCAGUGAGAAGCUGCUGUCUUGGGGGAGCUUUACUGCUUUUGGAGAUUUAAUACUGAUCUUGAACUUGAGGUGUGUCUGCAUGAACUUCUAUGCACCAGAAACUUUCAUUUCAAUGCUGAAAUGUGGGGUGACUUACAGGAAUUGAAAGGGUUGGGCCAGGAUGAAGGGUCGACAGAUCAAAACAUGGAUUUGAUGGAGCUAAAUCCCAGCUACUAGAUAUUUACACAUGUACAUGUGGCUCAUAUUACGUCUUUGUUGGAUGCCAAUGCUCUUGAGGCCUUUGCUGAAUGAACUCAUGGGCUAAUCGAGCACCACGGAGAUAUUCAAGUCCACCUCUCAUUUCAUGAAUGAUGAUCUGAGAGCUAAAGUUCUCCCAAACCUCACACCUGGCUGGACAAGAACUCUGGUUGGCCUGUGCUCUCAGCCCGUGGCAGUUCCAGUACACAUUUGGACCCAGGCUCCUGGAUUUUGACUGGCUCUUCCACCUGCUCACCUGCUCCAGCCCUGAGGCAAGAAUGGCUGUGCUACCCAUGUCACCACACCUGAAGCACCCAGCUGCCCUUCCAGGACCAGCCUCAAAUCCAGGUAUCCUGAGUCAGGCCAAGGUCUGUCUUGGAGGAGCAGGGCUAGAAGGGCCUGAAGUAACGGCACAGGUGGACCCCCAGGACAGGUGGAGCCAGCUGUCUCCGCUCUGCCGCUUGACCCAGAAGGCUCAAGAGCCCUGGAUGCUGAGCAUGAACUUGGAGAGUGAACAUGAGGAUGGUGGAAAGAGAGGAGCCAAAGGGGUGGCUCUCAGGACCAUCCUGACUUGUCAUGGCAGCAGACACUCAGCACGAGGGAAGGGAAAUUCUCUGACUCCUCUAGUGCCAGGGACAUGGGGAAGAAGGCCAGCUGAGAAAGAUAAGAUUCAAAAGCACCCAACCCAGGACUCCCCUGGAGCAAGCACGACUCCCAGUGCCCUCUCCGGGGACAUCUCCUACAAGUGGUUUCAUAGGACGCAGCCUCCUAGGGACUCAUUACCUCCUGGCCACGAUGGAGACUUCAGGGCAAACCUAGACGCUGCCUUGGGUGUCCCAUCCAAUUUCCCUGGUUCUGGAAGGUAUUUCUGUACGCAGGAAGGUGUAGACACGUCCCCAGACAGCUCCUCUCUGGCGUGUGUCCCCAAGGUGGGGGGCAACUGGGACCUCUCCACGCAGAGGACACAAGCAUCAGCCAAGGGAUCGGCCAGCUUGGCCGCAGCGGCGCUGGCCAAAGUGCAGAAGGGGUUUAAGGACUUGAACCUGGCGGGUGCGGGGGAGGGCCGGCAGAACAAGGCGCGUCCCUAUAACUGCCUGCCCGGCGGGGCCUUCCAAAAGCCCAGCCAUCCACUGGGCCCCACACAGACGCCCGGCACCAGGCCUUAUGCGGGCAAGCUGUGCGAGAAGACUUACUCCCACCGGGGCACGCUCCAGCAGCACCAGCUCCUGCACACGGGCGAGCGGCCCUACCAGUGCCCCUUCUGCGACAAGGCCUGCACCUGGUCCUCGGACCACCGCAAGCACAUCCGCACGCACACGGGCGAGAAACCCUACCCGUGCCCGGACUUCGGGAAGGCCUUCGUGCGCUCCUCUGACCCGCGCAAACACCAGCGCAAUAUGCACAGCAACAAGCCCUUGCCUUGUGCCGAGGGCGGCCUGACCUUCAACAAGCCGCUCUCGCUCCUGUGCCACCAGCGCACACCCCUGGUCGAGAAGCCUUUCUGCUGCCCCGCCCGCGACCGGGAGGUCGCCGUGGCCAGCCGGAUGAUGGAGCACCAGCGCGUGCACUCGGGCGAGCGGCCCUGCCCCUGCCCCACCGACGGCAAGUGCUUCACCAAAUCCUCCAACCUGAUGGAGCACCAGACGCUGCACCCGGGCCAGCGGCCCUUCAAGUGCGCCGACUGCGGCGUGGCCUUCGAGCAGCCCUCGCGCGCCACCCGCGCAUCCACACGGGCAAGAGGCCCUUUCCCUGCGCACAGUGUGGUCAGGCCUUUGCGCGCUCCUCCACCCUGAAGCGGCACCAGCAGAUCCACUCUGGGCAGAAGGGCUUCCUCUGCGCCGAGUGUGGCCGGGCCUUCCACAUUGCCUCGGAGCUGGCCCCGUACAUUCGCGUGCACAACGGCGGCGAGUGGCCUUAUCAGUGUGGGGACUGCGGCCAGGCCUUUACCCGCUCCAACCACCUCCAACGACACCGAGCCAAGCACCGCAGCUGCAAGAAGGAGCCCAUCCCUUCCUGCGCUGAUGAAUGCAAAUACUGAGAAGGCAUUGGACCUGGACCUCUCUCUAAAGAAAGCACUUCUGAUCGUACCAAAAUUAAAGACGAUAUUCUGCAAAAAGGUACUGUAUUCUCCUUUUGAGAAUAUCUAUAGUAUAUUUCUUAAAUUGCGACCAAAGCCUGCCAAAUCUGAAGUUCUCUUGGUUUCCUCUUGGUUUGGACUCAGGGAGUGACUGCUAUUGGCCAAAUAGGAAUGAUAAUAAUGGAAUCAUAAAAGUGAGCACAAUCCUACCAGGAGAAGAACUUCAAAUGCAAAAGCAUUAGAUAGAGAAGUUCUGACCAUCAGCCGUAACCUUGUGACUAUGCAGAGAGUAAAGGCUAGUAUAUUUUUUUUCUGGGUAAUCAGUGAAAUGUUUGAAAACUCUAAUAUUCCUUUUACCCUUGUGUUCUCUUAAGAUGGUAUUUAGUACAGUUUUUCCUAGUUACAAAAUUUGGUUGGGCUAUCGUUUCUUAAGUCGGUUGUUCCCCAAACCAGUUCAUAAAUGGCUAUAUGGACAUCACCUGGAUGGAGUUCCCACUGUGGCCCAUCUAGUUAAGAACCCGAUAUGAUGUCAUGAGGCUGCCGGUUUGAUCCUUGGCCUCGUUCAGUGGGUUAAGGAUCUGGCUUUGCCAUAAGCUGCAGCAUAGGUUACAGAGGUGGCUCAGAUCUGGCAUUGCUGUACCCAUGGCAUAGGUGGGCAGCUGCAGCUCCGAUUUCACUCCUAGCCUGGAAACUUCCAUAUGCUACACAUGUGGCCAUUAAAAAAUAAAGUUAAAAAAGAAAUCACCUGGAUGUUUGUUCGCCACAAACUCCUGAAUCUUCACCUUGAAUAUUGAUACAGCUCUGCAGUGCAUCUUGGAAUCUAAUUUUUAAAGCUUCUUAUGUGUUCUUUCUUUCUUUCUU